CUAACAGACACACACAAACUAACACACACACAGUAACACACUCACUGACACACACACAGUAACACUCACUGACACACACAAACUAACACACUCCUUAACAGACACACACACAGUAACACACUCACUAACACUUACUAGCAGACACACUAACAGACACACACAAACUAACACACACAGUAACACAGUCAGUGACACACACAC